rnacentral:rRNA from 1 species
GUGGGGAAUUUUGCACAAUGGGCGCAAGCCUGAUCCAGUCAUGCCGCGUGCAGGAUGAAGGCCUUCGGGUUGUAAACUGCUUUUGUACGGAACGAAAAGACUCUGGUUAAUACCUGGGGUCAUGACGGUACCGUAAGAAUAAGCACCGGCUAACUACGUGCCAGCAGCCGCGGUAAUACGUAGGGUGCGAGCGUUAAUCGGAAUUACUGGGCGUAAAGCGUGCGCAGGCGGUUUUGUAAGACAGAGGUGAAAUCCCCGGGCUCAACCUGGGAACUGCCUCCAAAACUGCAUGACUAGAGUACGGUAGAGGGUAGUGGAAUUUCCUGUGUAGCGGUGAAAUGCGUAGAUAUGCGGAGGAACACCGAUGGCGAAGGCAAUCCCCUGGACCUGUACUGACGCUCAUGCACGAAAGCGUGGGGAGCAAACAGGAUUAGAAACCCCUGUAGUCC